AGGGGACGAACAGUUGGAAACGACUGCUAAUACCGCAUACGAUCUAAUCUCGGCAUCGAGGAUAGAUGAAAGGUGGCCUCUACAUGUAAGCUAUCACUGAAGGAGGGGAUUGCGUCUGAUUAGCUAGUUGGAGGGGUAAUGGCCCACCAAGGCGAUGAUCAGUAGCCGGUCUGAGAGGAUGAACGGCCACAUUGGGACUGAGACACGGCCCAG
rnacentral:rRNA from 1 species